AAGUCGUAACAAGGUUUCCGUAGGUGAACCUGCGGAAGGAUCAUUAACACGUAUCCAAACGUUAAACCCCCCUGUGAACCUUCAGUGUACUCGUACGUCCGUUAGAAAAAGCAGCAAUCCCUGGUAAAUCAUCGCCGAACAGUUUUCGAUUCAGGGACGUCUGCAAGGAGCGUGCAUGUUGUGCGAAGCAAGUGGCCUGGCAUCCCCAAGCAGUUAGUGUCUGAAAGUGUCAUUAACUGUGUAAGGAUGACGCAGUCACGAUCGUUGGAGGCCCACACGGCCGACGACCGGGUCACUGGGCGCAAGCCCCCCUAUAACAAACGCUGCUAAUCGCGGCCGCGAUAAUACGCAGUCGACCAAAAACCGAACAUCUUGGUUCUC
rnacentral:misc_RNA from 1 species